CCUACCUUUUUCACCCCGAAUCGCUUGCUGCCAUCUGCUGUGAUGUUUGGUUCGUUGCCCAGCCGGGUGAUGGACCCGCUUGAGAAUCGGGAUCCGAAGCCAUGGCUUACGCUGCUGUUCCGGCCGCCGC
rnacentral:misc_RNA from 1 species